UAGGGAAUCUUCGGCAAUGGGGGGAACCCUGACCGAGCAACGCCGCGUGAGUGAAGAAGGUUUUCGGAUCGUAAAGCUCUGUUGUUAAGGAAGAACGAGUGUGAGAAUGGAAAGUUCAUGCUGUGACGGUACUUAACCAGAAAGGGACGGCUAACUACGUGCCAGCAGCCGCGGUAAUACGUAGGUCCCGAGCGUUGUCCGGAUUUAUUGGGCGUAAAGCGAGCGCAGGCGGUUAGAAAAGUCUGAAGUGAAAGGCAGUGGCUCAACCAUUGUAGGCUUUGGAAACUGUUUAACUUGAGUGCAGAAGGGGAGAGUGGAAUUCCAUGUGUAGCGGUGAAAUGCGUAGAUAUAUGGAGGAACACCGGUGGCGAAAGCGGCUCUCUGGUCUGUAACUGACGCUGAGGCGCGAAAGCGUGGGGAGCAAACAGG
rnacentral:rRNA from 1 species